GAGUCAUUGGGACUGUACGAAACCUAAAGGCGCAAUGAAAGUGAAAGUCCGCCUAGCUCGGACCGAGGGAGGAUGGGACGGCCCCCGGGCCGACCCCGCACUCCCGGGGCGUCUCGUUCUCAUCGCGAGAAGAGGCGCACCCAGAGCGUACACGCUGGGACCCGAAAGAUGGUGAACUAUGCCUGGUCAGGACGAAGUCAGGGGAAACCCUGAUGGAGGUCCGUAGCGAUUCUGACGUGCAAAUCGAUCGUCGGAACUGGGUAUAGGGGCGAAAGACUAAUCGAACCUUCUAGUAGCUGGUUCCCUCCGAAGUUUCCCUCAGGAUAGCUGGCGCUCGCCUUAGCGAGUCUCAUUCGGUAAAGCGAAUGAUUAGAGGCAUUGGGGUCGAAACGGCCUCAACCUAUUCUCAAACUUUAAAUGGGUGAGAUCUCCGGCUUGCUUGAAGCUUGAAGCCGCGAGAUAUCGGGAUCGAAGAGUGCCAAGUGGGCCACUUUUGGUAAGCAGAACUGGCGCUGUGGGAUGAACCAAACGCAGAGUUAAAGCGCCUAAAUCGACGCUUAUGGGAUACCAUGAAAGGCGUUGGUAACUUAAGACAG
rnacentral:rRNA from 1 species